rnacentral:misc_RNA from 1 species
GUAGGUGAACCUGCGGAAGGAUCAUUAACACGUACCAAACGUAUCAACCCCUUUAUACGAACCACAACCUGCCCUUUGCCUACGUUUGAGCCGAUUUAUCGGCGAAGCAGCCUGCAGUUGGGAACGACUGCAGUGCUGGCGCUCUGUUUUGGCUUCGGCUGAAACAUCCGCGUAGAACUGUGUGCCUUUUUUUUUCAACCCAUUCUCUGGUUUGACGAAAUUAACACUUCUUGUUUGGGCUCUCGAGCACAGCAGGAUUUUAUUUAUUGAACUUAAACAACUUUUAGCAACGGAUGUCUUGGUUCUC